UAACCAACUUUGUCAAUUACAUCAGGUGCUGUAGAGGUCGUUUAUAGAGUUUUGCAUUGAAACUAAUCUUUGAAAAUCUCCUUUGUGUAUACUGGUAUAUCUUACCGGAACUAGUAAUUGUGAACAAUUUACAACGCCUGUGGAUUCAUCAAGCUGGAUGCUAAAUAUUGUAAAAGAAGCAGAUAUCAUUUCCUUAAUAUCAGAAGACAUGUCAACUAAUCUCCUGUAAAUAGUGUCAUUAUUUAUGCAAAUUACACUAAAUUUAUUAAUAAAUUUGGCUCCAAUCAUAUCUUUAGCCACUGACAAUAACUGCUUGGUAGUGGUGUGAGGUUUCAGAACUCUGGCGAUUCUGACAGCUACCAAACAAGAAGAUUCAUAGGCUGAUAUGUUUCAAUUAUGGUACUUGCCAUAUGAGUCUAAACCAUCUAAACUAAACCACUGUAUGUCAUAAUUGGCAAAGUUCGGAUGUUUGUUCGACCUCAAUACAUAUGGCAGAGAGAACUUCAUUACAAAUGUUGCAUCGGGUUUCUGCUAAAACUAUACCGCAAAAAAAAAAUAUUAAAAAAUCGUCAUUCUCUUUUAUUUUAUUAACCUUCUUUUGUUACAAGUCCGUGUUCAUGAGUUGUUACAUAAUGAACUUUUUUCCAUUGACUAUAAUACGAUGGCGUAUUUAUUAAUUGAAUUUUCUUCACUACGUGAUUAUAUCUUCACCAAAGAAAUGUUUGAUCCCACAAUGGUGUUUCGAUGCAUUGAUAGACAGUAAAUUUAUUUCUUGAAAAAUAUAUUUUGCAACAACAAAGAUGUGGUCUGUAACAUCGAUUUUUGAAUGACAAUUAUAAAAAAAAAGAAACACAAAGAAGAACAAAUAAAAAUAACAAACUACUAUCAAACAAGGAUGUUACAUUCACUAAAAGUACCCUCUGUAUCGUCUUGCAAUAUAUAGGAAAAGUGAAGACUGUGUGUGGAAGUUUGCCAGAGGCAAGCUUUGGAUUUCUUUCAUAGAGCAAUACCUUUUGAUAUCAUUCCAACACCUAUAGCUGUGGUGAGACUAUUUCGAGGUCUCAGGAAUGUAUUUCUUAUCAAUUGGUAAUCAUGCAUCACAUGCCCUCAGAUAUGUACACAAAAUGAAGUUUGAGGAGAAAGAGAAAGGAUCAAGAUGAUUUACAAGACACUAAAGUUAUCUAUCAACUAUACUCAAUGUAUGAAUGACUUGCAGCCAGACUAGAAUUAUAGAGAAAGAUGUUUUUCUGCUGGCUAAACAUGUAUGGAUUGUUUUGAGUUUUGCAAGUGCUGCUGUUGUCUAGGCAAUUCUGGCCAGUAGUUCCGGUUUUGGUUUCUUCAUCUGAGACAAAAACUCCAAGGGUCUGUUCCAUCACAUCCAGUCAAUAAAGGAAUAAUAUCUAUGAUGUCAGACAACAAUAAAGAUCCAUUUCUGUAGAAGAAGAUCUCACUACCAUGAACACUCUAGGGCUAGGGAGACAUGAACUACAUGAAGACAAUUUUGGGAUGGAGGAAACCACACAGAGACUUCAAUGGGGAACAAAAGUCAAAUGGAGUGUGUUCAAAGUUAGCAUUCAAUUCUUGUCACUCAAUUCUCCAUGAUAUGUUUACAGGGAGACUAAACAUUUUUGGACAUGAUGCCAUUAAAAUGAGAAAAUAGAGUGGAAGAGAGUCCAUAGUUUGUUUUGCUCCCUAUUCAAUAGAGAACAAAGUUAAGAUUAGCGAUGGAGAUAAAAGGAAUCUCUAAAACAAUAAUUCUUAUCAAAAUCCAACAAUCUCUAUUCAAACUAUUAAUCUAAGCAGUAACAUGACAACUAUUUGAACCAAAGAGUGAAGGUCACGUGAGGACAGUUUUCAACACUAGAGUUACAGUACUAGUCCUCGGUGGAAUCAAGGAGUCAUUAAAGAAUCAUUCUGGAAGAUCAAAUCAAUACAAGCACUGAACAGCAGACAGGAAUGGAAAAUAUGGCCAACAGAUCUUGUGUGGUGCCCCAAUGGUCAAACAACUAAGGGAUAGAUAAUGAUGCAGAGAAUUUCCUGGUGAUCAAGAAUUAGGAGCUGCACACAGUUUAAUGAAACUAUAUUUUAGGAACAGAUAGAAAACAAAGAACUGCAGCAAAGAUGGCCUGUUUUUAUUCUUCUUCAUAGCAAAUCAAAGGAAUGUACAUGCUGCUGAUAUAGAACAAGUUUCUGACUGCUUCCAGAUCAGUGUUCUUAGUUCCGCUAAUGAUCUACUAUUGCACGAUAAAUAAGCAAAGUCCUGAAAAGCCUGCAGAAUCUGGGAGCACACUUUAGUUAAUAAGCAGGGUGUCAUAUGGCCUGCACAAUGAUCAACAGUUAGCAGUAAAGACAUCCUUCAAUGAAGCAGCCCUAUUUACGCCAAGAUAACAAUGUCUUUUUUAGUACUGUAUUGUAUAUUAUUUUACACCUUAAUUGGUCAGUGUAAAAAAAAAAACUAAGUGAAAUAUUUUUAGAGCUAUAGCGAGUAUAAUUUAUUUUUUUAGAAUCCAAUGUAGAUAAUUUGUUUUUUUUAAUGGGAUUGUUCAUGUAAAUAUUUUUCACAGAGUUAAAGUAAAGGCAUUUUCUGCAUGGAUAAUAAAGGUGUUAUUAUUAAUAGUAGUAAUAGUAUUAUGAAAUAAAAACUAAAGAAUUAUGUUAAGACAUAUUUUAUAUGGAAGCUCUUUAAUAGCAUUCAACUAAUUACAUAAUUUACUAGUAGGAAUACUUUAAGUAUGCAGUAUAUUUGCUACACUGUAGCAAAUAAAGGCCUACCAUUAAAUAUUAAAAACAAAAAUAAAAAAAAAAAAUGCCUUAUAAUAUUAAUAGCAUUGUAACUAACUAAAAGCAAUUAAACUAUUAUUUAAUACACAACAACAGUAUUGACCAUCACUGUAUUAGUUCACAUUGUCACAUUUUUAAGCUUAAUUGAAUACUAUAUCAUGUUGUAACCCUAUUGGCGGCGCGAAAGGGUUAACUGUAGGUUCACUUGACACAAGUGAACUCAGGCAAUGGACAAGGGACAGUACUACGAUGACACGCAAAUAUGACCAAUGUUAUGGUCAUGUGAUCGAAAGCCUGCGUGGACGAGAGACACAGUGUGUAAGAAAGCGACAGUUCAAGACCAGAGAGCGUUGAGACCGGCACUGUUAGUCAGCCAUGAAGUCGGUCCUGGUGCAGUCCUCCAGUGAAACGUACGAGUCCAGGAAGAGACAGUAGAGUUAUGAGUUUAGUACAAUGAUAUACAGUCUAACAUUGUAGCAGUUGAUUGUGUUGCCAAUUGUGUCAUAUUGGCUGUUUGAUUUGACCAUUAUUAAAGUACCAGAUUAUUGUG